ACUCCUACGGGAGGCAGCAGUGGGGAAUAUUGGGCAAUGGAGGAAACUCUGACCCAGCGACGCCGCGUGCGGGAUGAAGGCCUUCGGGUUGUAAACCGCUUUCAGCAGGGAAGAAGCGAAAGUGACGGUACCUGCAGAAGAAGCACCGGCUAACUAUGUGCCAGCAGCCGCGGUAAUAC
rnacentral:rRNA from 1 species